GGAGGCGUGGCAGAGUGGUUGAAUGCGGCGGUCUUGAAAACCGUUGGGGAUGCAAGUCCUUCGAGGGUUCGAAUCCUUCCGCCUCCG
rnacentral:tRNA from 2 species